rnacentral:rRNA from 1 species
UACGUAGGUCGCAAGCGUUGUCCGGAUUUACUGGGCGUAAAGAGCGCGCAGGCGGCUGGUCAAGUCCGAUGUGAAAUCUCCCGGCUCAACUGGGAAACUGCAUCGGAAACUGAUCGGCUUGAAGAUGGGAGAGGGUAGUGGAAUUCCCGGUGUGGUGGUGAAAUGCGUAGAUAUCGGGAGGAACACCAGUGGCGAAGGCGACUACCUGGCCCAUUCUUGACGCUGAGGCGCGAAAGCUAGGGGAGCGAACGGG